rnacentral:rRNA from 1 species
CGAGCGGUACAGGGGGUGCUUGCACUCCGCUGACGAGCGGCGGACGGGUGAGUAAUGCAUAGGAAACUGCCCAGUAGUGGGGGAUAGCCCGGGGAAACCCGGAUUAAUACCGCGUACGCCCUUCGGGGGAAAGCAGGGGAUCUUCGGACCUUGCGCUAUUGGAUGUGCCUAUGUCGGAUUAGCUAGUUGGUGGGGUAAAGGCCUACCAAGGCGACGAUCCGUAGCUGGUCUGAGAGGAUGAUCAGCCACAUCGGGACUGAGACACGGCCCGAACUCCUACGGGAGGCAGCAGUGGGGAAUAUUGGACAAUGGGGGCAACCCUGAUCCAGCCAUGCCGCGUGUGUGAAGAAGGCUUUCGGGUUGUAAAGCACUUUCAGUGAGGAGGAAAAGUUGGUCGUUAAUACCGGCCAGCCUUGACGUUACUCACAGAAGAAGCACCGGCUAACUCCGUGCCAGCAGCCGCGGUAAUACGGAGGGUGCAAGCGUUAAUCGGAAUUACUGGGCGUAAAGCGCGCGUAGGUGGUUUGAUAAGCGAGAUGUGAAAGCCCCGGGCUUAACCUGGGAACGGCAUUUCGAACUGUCAGGCUAGAGUAUGGUAGAGGAGUGUGGAAUUUCCUGUGUAGCGGUGAAAUGCGUAGAUAUAGGAAGGAACAGCCAGUGGCGAAGGCGGCACUCUGGACCGAAUACUGACACUGACGUGCGAAAGCGUGGGG